AACAAAACUUAUAAUUGCAAGUGAUAAAAAAAAAACUUUUUCACUUUGAUUAAAUAACAGAAAUUAAGAACCUGCUCGAGCAAAUAGACGAACUGUCACAACAAAAGGUCAUCAACGAUGAGACACUGAUGCAGAGCAUAGAUAAUGGGCUUCCACUUACAGAGAAAUUAAGCAAACUGCAGCACGACUGUGACAAACAUAAACAACUGACCAAUUUAAUUGUAAACGAAUAUCACCCUUCAACCAGAGAAAGCCUUGCAAGCCACAAUGAAGAGGAGCUUUGGAAUUUCAUUCAGAAAGAAUUCCAAUUGAUGCCGACCAAGUGCAGAGAGCUGGAAAAGGAAAACACCCUUUUGAAGAAACAGCUGGAGUUUUGUCGAUUGAAGACUUUAAGAAGCUGGAGGAAAGGAGAAAUCAACAUUUAGCCAAGUGUGAAGAAGAUCUGCUAAUCAAAAACCAACAACUGGAUGUGGAACGACGUGAAGUGCAAGCCUUGCAAAAGCAGCUGAUGGGAAUGACUCCUAAGAAGUUUGAAAAUAUCACACCCCAGAGAAAACUACCCACGGUCUCACUCUCACUGACAAACUCUGUACAUUCUUUAACUUUGUCACAUUUGAUUCAUUCCUCUGAAAACAAGGUGGAAUCUAUCAGUGUUAUUACCAAGGAAGUCAAGAGCACGACCCUGAAGCUACCCACUUUUCCUAGCCACUCACAAGCACCCAUUCACUCCCCAGAACUUGGCCACCUUUUUAACCAGUGAUGACAACGCCAACCAAAUCCAAAUUGUCAAAUUAUAAAUAUACAUCAUUUUAUGCAAUUUAUUUUUAAACAUCAAGAAGUGCAUGACACGAAAGAAAUCUUUCCUAUUACCCUUUGUGAUCAUGUGACAAAUUAUAUUGAUGGCCGCUCCCCUCGUGAUUAUCUGGCCUAAAAUUAAAAUUAAUUAUAGAAUUUGUGAUUCAAAAUUAUUUUA